rnacentral:tRNA from 1 species
CAAGAGGUAGUUUAACAAAAAACAGUAGCUUUGGGAGUUACUAUUAUAAGUGAAAAUCUUAUCCUUUUGA